AACGAACGCUGGCGGCAUGCCUAACACAUGCAAGUCGAACGAGACCUUCGGGUCUAGUGGCGCACGGGUGCGUAACGCGUGGGAACCUGCCCUUAGGUUCGGAAUAACUCCCCGAAAGGGGUGCUAAUACCGGAUAAUGUCUUCGGACCAAAGAUUUAUCGCCUUUGGAUGGGCCCGCGUUGGAUUAGCUAGUUGGUAGGGUAAAAGCCUACCAAGGCGACGAUCCAUAGCUGGUCUGAGAGGAUGAUCAGCCACACUGGGACUGAGACACGGCCCAGACUCCUACGGGAGGCAGCAGUGGGGAAUAUUGGACAAUGGGCGAAAGCCUGAUACAGCAGUGCCGCGUGAGUGAUGAAGGCCUUAGGGUUGUAAAGCUCUUUUACCCGGGAUGAUAAUGACAGUACCGGGUGAAUAAGCUCCGGCUAACUCCGUG
rnacentral:rRNA from 1 species